rnacentral:rRNA from 1 species
UACGGGGGGUGCGAGCGUUGUCCGGAAUCACUGGGCGUAAAGGGCGCGUAGGUGGCCCGUUAAGUGGCUGGUGAAAUCCCGCGGCUCAACUGCGGGGCUGCCGGUCAGACUGGCGAGCUAGAGCACGGUAGGGGCAAAUGGAAUUCCCGGUGUAGCGGUGGAAUGCGUAGAGAUCGGGAAGAAUACCAGUGGCGAAGGCGUUCUGCUGGGCCGUUGCUGACACUGAGGCGCGACAGCGUGGGGAGCAAACAGG